AGUUGAUAGUUGCUGGAGAAAUCCAUCAACCGACAACCAAAAACCAACAACUAACAACCUUAAGGUGGUUAUUGCGGCGGGGCUCACCUCUUCCCAUCCCGAACAGAGUAGUUAAGCCCGCCUGCGCAGAUGGUACUGCAGUUAUGUGGGAGAGUAUGUCGUCGCCUUUC
rnacentral:rRNA from 1 species